CUAUAUAUUUGUGUUCUGUGCUUUAGAUGUUGGAUGGAUUUAGGGUUAGGGCAUGGUUUAUUUGUUUUGUGUUUGCUUUUAGUGACAAAUGUGGCAGAGUUUAUUAAAUUAUAAUAAUUAAACAUUUUUAUCAUGGUGUACUGUGCAGUAAUGGGUUGUUCAAACAACAACAACAAAAAAAGUAAGGUAGUUUCGGAUUGCCGAUUCUUUAGAUUUCCAAAGGACAAACAAGUUUGUGGACAAUGGGUUUUAAAAUGUUACCAGCAACGUAAAUUUAAUGUAAAAACAGCAACAAUAUGUUCAAAACAUUUCGCAGAAAGCGAUUACUGUUUUAAAGAAAAACUUUUGGAAUUACCACAAAAUAAAUGGAAAUUGAAAAAAGAUGCAGUGCCUUCCUUAAAUUUGGAAAAGUCCCCAACUGUGCAAACAUCUACUCAGCAAAAUCGUAAUAUGAAAAUAAAGAAAGAGCAAAAUAGGCAGUUAAUAAAAGAUUCCCAGCAAGAACCUGGAAUUUCUCAUAUUGAAAAAGAAACAGAACUUGAAAUAUCCAAAUAUUGAGACUGGAGGUGACAAAUUCUGUGAGAAAACAAGAACUGUUUCUACUCAGACAACAAGUGAUGAUGAUCUUCAGCAAAAAAUAAAAAUGCUUCAAGCGGAAAAUACAAAUUUAAUACAGAUUUAAAAAAAAAAUACACCCUGUAUCUAGGAAACGAAUUAGGUUAGAAUAUACGAUUAUAUGAAAAAAAAAUCGCAUUUUUAUCUGGUAAAUAUGCCCUUAAAAUCUUUGCACUCAAUUUAGUCGAAUCACCCUGUAUAUAGGUACUAAAGUGGAAUUAAUAAAACUUUGGUUGUAUGUCAUCAAUGGCACAA